CCGGGUCAGAGCCAUGGCGGUGGCAAAUUCAAGCCCUGUGAAUCCCGUGGUGUUCUUUGAUGUCAGCAUCGGUGGCCAGGAAGUUGGCCGCAUGAAGAUCGAGCUCUUUGCAGACGUUGUGCCUAAGACGGCCGAGAAUUUUAGGCAGUUCUGCACUGGAGAAUUCAGGUCAGUCUCAGACGUGGUUGAAUUCUUUGCUUGCUCCUGAGGGGUGUCCUGGGGCUGCAGUGAGGGUGUUGGGGAACCACCGACUGGCCUUGAAUGAUUGCUCUUGACAGUAAUAGAAGAAAAGAUGGGGUUCCAAUAGGAUACAAAGGGAGCACCUUCCACAGGGUCAUAAAAGAUUUCAUGAUUCAGGGUGGAGAUUUUGUUAAUGGAGAUGGUACUGGAGUCGCUAGUAUCUACCGGGGGCCAUUUGCUGAUGAAAAUUUUAAGCUUAGACACUCAGCUCCAGGCCUGCUUUCCAUGGCAAACAGUGGUCCCAGUACAAAUGGCUGCCAGUUUUUCAUCACCUGCUCUAAGUGUGAUUGGCUAGAUGGGAAGCACGUGGUGUUUGGAAAAAUCAUUGAUGGACUUCUGGUGAUGAGAAAGAUUGAGAAUGUUCCCACAGGCCCCAACAAUAAGCCCAAGCUGCCUGUGGUGAUCUCACAGUGUGGGGAAAUGUAGUUCAAAGGAAGACUCGAUCAGUUAUGAAAGCAACAUCAUCUUGUGAAAUGAGAUAUGAAAAUUUUCACACGAAACAGUAAAGCCCUUCUCCCCUUGACAACUCACCCCGCUUCUGCAUCCCCAUCCCAAUGCUGUCCUCAGAGGCCCCCCGGCUCUGCCACUGUGGGCCUCCUCUUGCUCGGGGUGAUGCUCUUGAGGGAGAUAAUCUGGACUGGCCCCUGUGUUUGCUUCCCUGCCUGCUGCUGCCCCAUUUGAUCAAGAGACCUUGGAAGUAUCACAGAUUCGGAACCCAAAAUUUUGUGUUUAAGUUUUCAAUUGUAAAUAAAGUUGUUGUUUUGUUGUU